rnacentral:rRNA from 1 species
AGGCCUAACAAUGCAAGUCGAACGGUAACAGGAAGAAGCUUGCUUCUUUGCUGACGAGUGGCGGACGGGUGAGUAAUGUCUGGGAAACUGCCUGAUGGAGGGGGAUAACUACUGGAAACGGUAGCUAAUACCGCAUAACGUCGCAAGACCAAAGAGGGGGACCUUCGGGCCUCUUGCCAUCGGAUGUGCCCAGAUGGGAUUAGCUAGUAGGUGGGGUAACGGCUCACCUAGGCGACGAUCCCUAGCUGGUCUGAGAGGAUGACCAGCCACACUGGAACUGAGACACGGUCCAGACUCCUACGGGAGGCAGCAGUGGGGAAUAUUGCACAAUGGGCGCAAGCCUGAUGCAGCCAUGCCGCGUGUAUGAAGAAGGCCUUCGGGUUGUAAAGUACUUUCAGCGGGGAGGAAGGGAGUAAAGUUAAUACCUUGCUCAUUGACGUACCCGCAGA